UUAAUAUAAUUUUGGGAACAAAACUGAGCAAUAUACCAAUAUCCUGUAUUUCAAUGAUUUCAAAAACUUCUUGGAACUACUACUACUUAAAUUACAUUAAUUAUGGGAGCAAAACAAACCUUUUGGCACCGCACUACUUGUUUUGUGGAUGAUAAUGAGGAUGAGAGCCAACAUUUAUUGAAUUCUUACCCUGCUGAAAUCCCUCCAAGUCAGUAGUGUGACUGCCCCUACUUCUGCAAAUGGGGAAACUGAGGCCACAAGAGGUUAGCUAAUGUGUCCAAGAUUGCACAGUAGUAUAUGAUGGAAAUAUUGUAUCCUAUAAAGUUAAGUUUAAAACAUAUCAGGACCCCAACUCGUGUAUACGUACAAUGCUUACAUUUUAAAGAAGGUAUAAACUCAUUAUUGCUAUAUUUCAGAGCACUUCCCGUGUACAGUGACCCCCACAAAGACAUCUAUGUAGCACACAUUUCCAGGGCGCGGGGCAGGCCUGGUGCUGGGCAUCUGAGUCCCGCGGAGACCCGAACUCUCCACGAAAACCGAAACCACACUUCAAAAUGAAAUACGGAUUUUAGUUUUUAAAAUGUCUCGCCCGCGUCCUCGCGCCAGCCGGGACGUAGAUGACAGAGACAGCGGGCCUGGCUGGGCCGCUCCAGCUCCCGGCCGCGCGCCCCCGGACCCCGCGCGCCCCCGGACCCCGCGCGCCCCCGGACUCCGCGCGCCCCCGCUGCCCCGUCCCCAGCGCGCUCCUCACCUGAGCCCUGGGCUCCACCUCCCGCCCCUCUGCAACCUCCAGGAGCAGCCGCCUCCGGAGGACCCAGGUCUGAGGCCUGGGCGGCUGCCGGCUACGAUUGGCUGUGGGGCGGAGCGGGACGCCCGGGGAGGCGGGACAGGAAGGAUCCUAAGGCCGGAUGGCCUCCCCGGUCCCUCUCUGGUCCCCUGCCAGGCGAGGGGUGCGUCGCUGUGGUCCUGCUCGACCCCUGCUGCCCUUUGGGGCCCAACUCAGCAGGUUGCAGGAACUGUGUCUCAGAUCCACCACAGAUGGCUAAAACUGGCAGCCCAAGACCAGUCAGCAGGAUCCAGACCAUCCAAACCAGCUGAUCCUGAGGCAAAACCAAGCCACCACUGAGGACAGCACCCCUACUUAGUCAUCCCAGAGCUGACUAGUCUAGACACAGCAGAAGCCUGAAGAAACAGCACCCUUGGUUUGGUCACUCCAGAAGCUUGGCCAAAGCUUGAAGAUCGACAUGGAGUUGCAACAACCCAUAAGUCUCUUUUCCUUGCUGUUAUAAUUCUCUUCUUGCUUCAAUCAGGAGGAAAAUCUUUUAGGAAUGCUCCCACUGUAUUUACACCCUGUGCUCAGGAAACAUUAAAGCAAGGACCCUGCUAUAUCACACCUAUUAAAUAUAGAUGAUAAUUAUGCUCACUAUUAAAACUCAUUUAUGAAAAGCAUCAAAGGGGGGAAUAAAGCAGAACUUAAAAGAAAAUAAGUUUCC
rnacentral:lncRNA from 1 species